rnacentral:lncRNA from 1 species
CAGCAGAUCUGCAUUGUAAGAAAAAUGAGAAGAAUUCCUUCAGGAAGAAGAAAAAUGAUACCAGAUGGAUAUGUGGAUCCACAUAAAGGAACGAAGAGCACAGGAAAUAGUAACUAUACUGUCUUGCUCUGUCACCCAGGCUGGAGUGUGGUGGUGCGAUCUUGGCUCACUGCUAGACUGGUUGGAUCCAGGAAAAACAAAGGAAAGCAAGGACAUCUACUAAGACUGAAAAAUAAAUGGUAGGGUUUGAGGCUUGGGAGACUUGCAAACAUCUUCACCAUGGUGAGCAUAAUUUGGAACACAGGAUUUUGGAGACAGAGUUCAGCCUCAAUAUCUCCAUCUUCUUCCUAUGCCACUGAACUUGGAUGACAUAUGACAUCCUAUGUGGUGAAUUUUAUUAGUGGAUUGCCCAAUGAUAAAUAAGGUUUCCUUCGUCAGUCCAGGCAGGACUGUGCGGUUGGAAAAGGGACGGAUGCUGGUCCUGGAAGGGGCGUCGUUAUCUAGAAGCUCCCAACCUAAGUGGGUGACUCAUAGGGAGGGCAAGGAGAGAAGGACACAGCAAGCAACUUACAUGUAAAACAAGACGUGUGGGUUAUUAUGGAAGAAAUUCACAACCAAACUUGGGGUUAGCCCGUAUUGUUUUCCAAGAACUCUAUGUGGACAGUGACAAAAAACAGACCUAAGAACUAGCAGACUGGGCAAAGCUUUUUCACAUAACAACAACAAAAAAAGCAAUUCCUCAGGAAAAAAUGGUCAAUGGGUCAUUGUGUGUAGACAAAACUACAAGUUCUGCUCCAGACUCUGGGGAAACCAUGCUGCCAUCUUCAAGCUGUGGCCAUUCUGUAAUACAGACUACGCUAAAUCACAUGUUGUCAUCAAGGCAGAAUAUUUUGUUCCUUUAUGGGUCAGCCUGGGAUACAAAAUUAGAGAAACUUUGCAAUG